rnacentral:rRNA from 1 species
AUUGAACGCUGGCGGCAUGCUUUACACAUGCAAGUCGAACGGCAGCGGGGAGGAGCUUGCUUCUCUGCCGGCGAGUGGCGAACGGGUGAGUAAUACAUCGGAACGUGUCGAGAAGAGGGGGAUAACCACCCGAAAGGGUGGCUAAUACCGCAUAAAUUCUGAGGAAGAAAGCUGGGGACCUAGGAAUAGGCCUAGCGCUUUUUGAGCGGCCGAUGUCGGAUUAGCUAGUUGGUGAGGUAAAGGCUCACCAAGGCGAAGAUCUGUAGCGGGUCUGAGAGGAUGAUCCGCCACACUGGGACUGAGACACGGCCCAGACUCCUACGGGAGGCAGCAGUGGGGAAUUUUGGACACUGGGGGCAACCCUGAUCCAGCCAUGCCGCGUGUAUGAAGAAGGCCUUAGGGUUGUAAAGUACUUUUGUUAGGGAAGAAAAGUCAGCUGUGAAUAAUGGCUGAUACUGACGGUACCUAAAGAAUAAGCACCGGCUAACUACGU